rnacentral:rRNA from 1 species
UACGUAGGGGGCUAGCGUUGUCCGGAAUCAUUGGGCGUAAAGAGCGUGUAGGCGGCCCGGUAAGUCCGCUGUGAAAGUCGGGGGCUCAACCCUCGAAUGCCGGUGGAUACUGUCGGGCUAGAGUGCGGAAGAGGCGAGUGGAAUUCCCGGUGUAGCGGUGAAAUGCGCAGAUAUCGGGAGGAACACCAGUAGCGAAGGCGGCUCGCUGGGCCAUUCCUGACGCUGAGACGCGAAAGCUAGGGGAGCGAACAGGAUUGAGAAACCCCAG